rnacentral:lncRNA from 1 species
AGUGUCUACUGUGUACUCAAUGUCUUCUAGGCACUAGGAUACAGCAGUGAACAACAACAACAACAGCAAAACAAAAUCCAAGCCCUCAAGAAACUUACUCCUUGGACUACGUGUCUUUCCCCAGGACUAUAUGCCGUUCCCUUUCCAGGACUAUGUGUCUUUCCGCAGGACUAUAUGCCAUUCCCCAAGUGCCAUUCGGAAAUUAUUCAUAAAAUUUAUGUAGAAACGAAAGGUUCAAAAAUAGCAAAGACACUUGAAGAACCAGGUAGGAAGGACUUGUUCUACCAGCUAUUGAUUUAUUAUAUUAUUACUCCAAUUAAGACACCGAGAUUGUCAUCAAUAUUGAAAAAUAGAUCAGAAGCAACAAAUUAAAAAUCCAGAAACCAGUCAUUUUUCCAUACUAAUUUGGUCUCAAUGAGAACAACAUAAUUCUCAUUCAUCUCCCUGUAGAAGUUAUAUAUUUCCAAAGUGGUUCAAAUGUACUGAAAGCCAACUCACCACUAGGAAUUGAAUCAAAAUUGACCCACAGACGUACAACAUUAAGUUUGCUGCGAAGAUUUAAAUCAGUGGGACAUAAAAUAAAAA